CCGAAGUCUCCACGCUCCCUUUCCUCCGUUUAAAACCUUCGCUUCGUCUCGACUCCACUCGCGGCCGGCCAUUCCCCCCCUCGCUCGCCCAAUCCUCGCGCGCGUCAAAACCUAGGGCCCCGCGCGUCCUUUUUCCGGGCGGGCUCCAGAUCCAAUGGGCGCGGCGCCGUCGACGCCGAGGCUGGGUGCGGCGGGCGCGCCGCCGUCGCCCGGCGCGGCGGAGCAGAUGUUCGCGGCGCUGGUCGGCGACAAGGCCUACCCGAUCUCCUCCGAGUUCUGGAAGCAGCUGCUCGAGCUGCCCCUCACCCUGCAGUGGCCGCGCGACCGCGUGCUGCAGGCGUGCCACGCCUUCGCCCAGAACAACUACCAAACCAAGCAUCUUGCAAAAAUUUUGAUCCAUUUGGUUUGGUGUUUGCAAGAGUGUACCUCAACAACUUCUGUAUCUUCUGUCGCAUACCGAAGGGCUAUCAAUGCUGCAUAUAUCUCAUCCAUAUUUCUCAAAUUCAUCAUUGAAAAUGCAAAAACUGAUAAUUGGCAAGAGCUAUGCCUUGACAUUGACAAGAGUGAGAAGGGGAUGGAAAAAUUUCCUGCAGAAAUCACUGUGGAGUAUUUUCUGAUGAGAGGCGUCCUGAACUAUAUUGGUAGUGUAGAUGUAAGCCUGGAAUCAUGCUACCUACAUCAUGAACUUUUGAACUUGAUGUUAGUUCUUAUGUCAACUCAGUUAUGUUCUGGACCAUCCCCAGAACCAAAAGAUGUGCAUCCUUUCAUUGAUGCAGCUAUGCUUCAGGACAGCUCCAUAGUAGUCUCAGUGGUGCGAAAGUUGUUGCUCAAUUUUGUAACACGGCCAAAGUUUCCUCAAAAUGGUUCACACCCUGUUUUUUCUGAUGAUGGUAGGCCUGGUGUUCUGCAGCGAGUUGGGUCAGCAGCUGCAAAUUUUGUCUUACUGCCAUAUUAUACGUUCAACUACCUUGGUAGCUCCAAUCCUGAGGGUGCAACAAGUCAGUUGGCAGAUAACAGUUUACUUGUCCUGCUUGUUAUGAUCCACUUCCGCAAGUGCAUUUCAACUAAUGAGUCCAUUCCCAGCAACAAUACAUACAUGGGUUCAGAUACCAAUGACAAGGAAGCUCAGGUUUUUCAUGAAAAUCCUUAUUGCAAAGCAUUAAACAAUGCUAAGGACAUUCAAUAUGAUCAUGCUGAUGUUGAAGGAAAUGCUCAAGAUGGGCCUGUUGUCAGGUUGUCUUUUGCAUCGUUGUUUGACUCUCUUGGAAGAUGCUUAAACGAUGAGAGCUCGGUUCUGUUGCUCUAUUCUUUAGUCCAUGGGAACUGUGACUUUCAGGAAUAUGUCCUUGUUCGAACAGACUUGGAUACUUUGCUCAUGCCUAUCUUGGAAAUGCUCUACAAUGCAUCAAGGAAGACUUCAAAUCAGAUUUACAUGCUGUUGAUCAUUCUCCUAAUCCUCAGUCAAGAUUCAACCUUCAAUGCUAGUGUGCAUAAAUUGGUGCUUCCUGCUGUUCCUUGGUACCAUGAGCGCCUUAUGCAUCAAACAUCUUUGGGAUCUUUGAUGGUUGUAAUACUAAUCCGGACCAUCAAGUACAACCUCUCUAAGCUAAGAGAUGUCUACCUUCACACAAACUGUCUUGCGAUAUUAGCAAAUAUGGCUCCUCAUGUGCAUAGGCUGAGUGCCUAUGCAUCACAAAGGCUGGUUAGCCUCUUCGACAUGCUUUCUCGCAAGUAUGCCAAACUAGCUGAGUUAAAAAAUGACAAGUCCCACAAAGUUAUAUCCGAUCAGAUGGAAGCAGACAACAUCGCAGAUGAUAUGUCUACAGAGCUUCACAUAUAUACAGAUUUCUUAAGAAUUGUUCUGGAAAUCAUUAAUGCAAUCCUUACGUAUGCAUUGCCCCGAAAUCCUGAGGUUGUGUAUGCUGUAUUGCAUCGUCAGGAGGUUUUUGAGCCAUUUAAGGACCAUCCACGUUUCAAUGAACUUCUUGAGAACAUAUACACUGUAUUGGAUUUCUUUAAUAGCCGAAUGGACAUGCAACAAUUAGAUGGGGAAUGGUCUGUGGAUAAGGUGCUUGAAGUCAUCAACAAAAACUGCCGAUCAUGGCGUGGAGAAGGGAUGAAGAUGUUUACCCAGUUAAGGUUUACAUAUGAGCAAGAAAGCCACCCUGAGGAAUUCUUUAUCCCAUAUGCAUGGCGCCUUGUCCUGUCACGGGGGUAAUCAUUUGUUGUUCGAUAUAUGAUUCACAAUUUUCAGAUAGAUCUUUAGCAACAUGCAAGUAUUAUAAAUAGCAAGUCUUAGGCAUGCCGUAAUUGGUACCAGAGAGAUGCCUUCAACCAAUGCAGAAAAUAUCUUGAUUUUUAUCAUGUCAUCUUGGUUCAAAAGAUUCUCUUUCAAUCCUGGCGCCAUAAAUCUGUUCCCUGUGGAGAUUCACCUUGAUGAUGCACCAUCCAGUGAACAAAAGGUUUAGGAAGAAUGAUCUUUUUGUUCCAUCGCAGCAAAGAGCUCGUUGUAAAUAGGCGGCAUACAAACUGUACUCAUUCUUUUGUAUUAAUAUUUCUGUUGUUUUCAUAAUUGCGUGUAUGAUGGAAGGGAUGGAGAGGGAUUGCGGAAGGGGUUAGAUAUUUUAUUAGUAGGGGAUAGAUGACUAUGUAGCGUAUAUACACAAUUUGUUCAUAAGUUAAUGUUGUAUUGUACUUUUAGCUGAAAGGCCUUGUAACUACCCCGGCCCCACUCUUGCAUUGUAAACUCUGCAACCUAACCUACC